rnacentral:rRNA from 1 species
ACCCAUGCAAGUCGCACGGCGGGGGCAACUCCGUCAGUGGCGGACGGGUGAGUAACGCGUAGGAAUCUAUCCUUGAAUGGGGGACAACCGUGGGAAACUACGGCUAAUACCGCAUGAUGCCUGAGGGCCAAAGACGAAAGUCGUUUGAGGAGGAGCCUGCGUCUGAUUAGGUAGUUGGUGGGGUAAAGGCCUACCCAAGCCUACGAUCAGUAGCUGGUCUGAGAGGAUGAUCAGCCACAUUGGGACUGAGACACGGCCCAAACUCCUACGGGAGGCAGCAGUGGGGAAUAUUGGACAAUGGGCGACAAGCCUGAUCCAGCAAUGCCGCGUGGGUGAAGAAGGUCUUCGGAUUGUAAAGCCCUUUUGGCGGGGACGAUGAUGACGGUACCCGCAGAAUAAGCUCCGGCUAACUUCGUG